UCCCUGGUCAUGCAUUCUUCAUUUCCAUCAGGGCCGUCCUCCACUGUCCUGGUCGUGUAUUCUUCAUUUCCAUCAGGGCAGUCCUCCACUGUCCUGGUCAUGUAUUCUUCAUUUCCAUCAGGGCCGUCCUCCACUGUCCUGGUCAUGUAUUCUUCAUUUCCAUCAGGGCAGUCCUCCACUGUCCUGGUCAUGUAUUCUUCAUUUCCAUCAGGGCCGUCCUCCACUGUCCUGGUCAUGUAUUCUUCAUUUCCAUCAGGGCCGUCCUCCACUGUCCUGGUCAUGUAUUCUUCAUUUCCAUCAGGGCCGUCCUCCACUGUCCUGGUCAUGUAUUCUUCAUUUCCAUCAGGGCCGUCCUCCACUGUCCUGGUCAUGUAUUCUUCAUUUCCAUCAGGGCCGUCCUCCACUGUCCUGGUCAUGUAUUCCUCCAAUCCUGAACUUUUCAGUAUUUUCCACUGUUACAGCGAGGCUCCUCAGCUCACACUGCAAAUUGUCAACAGUUGCUCGGCUAUCAAAUUGAAGCAAACAUUUUGCUGAGCUUUUGAAGGGUUGUCUGUGGAAGACCAUUGGAUGUUAUCUGGGAGAAGUUUCUAGGAUCCAGAAGGUCUAGGUCAGCAUAUAGAGCGAGCCACGAGACAGAAAUCACCUGUGGAUACUAUCUGUGACUGUAUCCAUAAUUUGAUUGUGGACUUGGAACUUUAGAGGCACUCUCUGCCUCUGUCAAAGCUUCAUCUUGAGCCGUCUCUCCAGACAUGAUUUUCUUCUUUCUUGCCUUUUUCUGUGGCAGAGUGGCUUCCACCUCCUCCAGCUCUGUGUCCUCAUCCUGUUCUUUGAUCUUCUUAUUUGUAAACUGAACAAAUGUGUCUGUAGCUGCCUUAAUGGGGUCAAGGUCUCUUGCCAUGCCUUUCAGGGUUUCCUGUGUAGCCACAACCAUUCGAUGGGCAGACAGGAUGUCCAUCCCACUUGUCUGCAGUUGUCUUCGUGUUGGCCUGUCCUUGUAUGGCUGACAGUAUGAGGAGUACUUCAACAUAG
rnacentral:lncRNA from 1 species